UAAUACGAAGGGGGCUAGCGUUGUUCGGAAUCACUGGGCGUAAAGCGUGCGCAGGCGGAUUGAUAAGUCAGGGGUGAAAUCCCGGGGCUCAACCUCGGAAUUGCCUUUGAUACUGUCUGUCUUCGAGUUCGGGAGAGGUUGGCGGAAUUCCUAGUGUAGAGGUGAAAUUCGUAGAUAUUAGGAAGAACACCAGUGGCGAAGGCGGCCAACUGGCCCGAUACUGACGCUCAUGCACGAAAGCGUGGGGAGCAAACAGGAUUAGAUACCCUGGUAGUCCUAGCCCUAAACGAUGGAUGCUUGGUGUGUCGGGUACCCAAUCCCGCCGUGCCGAAGCUAACGCGAUAAGCAUCCCGCCUGGGGAGUACGGUCGCAAGGCU
rnacentral:rRNA from 1 species